rnacentral:rRNA from 1 species
UACGGGGGGGCAAGCGUUGUUCGGAAUUACUGGGCGUAAAGGGUUAGUAGGUGGCCAACUAAGUCAGACGUGAAAUCCCUCAGCUUAACUGGGGAACUGCGUCUGAGACUGAUUGGCUCGAGGACAGGAGAGGAACGCGGAAUUCCAGGUGUAGCGGUGAAAUGCGUAGAUAUCUGGAGGAACACCGGUGGCGAAGGCGGCGUUCUGGACUGUUUCUGACACUGAAUAACGAAAGCCAGGGGAGCAAACGGG